AUGUGCAAAGCCCCUCCGCUUACCCCGGGGAGGGUCAUUGGAAUUUUGCGCGACUUGAGUACAGAAGAGGAAGAGGGGAAUUCACAUGUGGAGCGGUGAAAUGCAUAGAGAUGUGGAGGCACCCCAGUGGGGGGGGGGACUUUCUGGUCUGUAACUGACAUGAGGCGAGAAAGCGUGGGGAGCAAACAAGAUUAGAUACCCUGGUAGUCCACUCCAUAAACGAAGAGAUCUAAGUGUUAGAGGGUUUCCGCCCUAUAGUGGUAAAGAAAACGCAUUAAGCACUCCGCCGGGGGAGUAGGGCCGCAAGGCUGAAACUCAAAAGAAGUGAGGGGGGCCCGCACAAGCGGUGGAGCAUGUGGUUUAUUUAGAAGCAACGAGAAGAACCUUACCAGGUCUUGACAUCGUUUGAAAACCCUAGAAAUAGGGUUUCUCCUUUGGGAGCAGAGUGACAGGUGGUGCAUGGUUGUCGUCAGCUCGUGUCGUGAGAUGUUGGGUUAAGUCCCGCAACGAGCGCAACCCUUGAUCUUAGUUGCCAUCAUUAAGUUGGGCACUUUAAGGUGACUGCCGGUGACAAACCGGAGGAAGGUGGGGAUGACGUCAAAUCAUCAUGCCCCUUAUGACCUGGGCUACACACGUCUACAAUGGACGGUACAAAGAGUUGCCAGCCCGCGAGGGGAGCUAAUCUCAUAAAAUCGUUUUCAGUUCGGAUUGUAGGUUGCAACUUGCCUACAUGAAGCUGGAAUCGCUAGUAAUUGCGGAUCAGCAUGCCGCGGUGAAUACGUUCCCGGGCCUUGUACACACCGCCCGUCACACCCCGAGAGUUUGUAACACCCGAAGUCGGUGGGGUAACCUUUAUGGAGCCAGCCGCCUAAGGUGGGACAGAUGAUGGGGGAAGUC
rnacentral:rRNA from 1 species